rnacentral:rRNA from 1 species
UACGUAGGGAGCAAGCGUUGUCCGGAAUCAUUGGGCGUAAAGCGCGCGUAGGUGGCCACAUAAGUCCGUUGUGAAAGUCAAAGGCUCAACCUUUGAAAGCCGAUGGAUACUGUGUGGCUAGAGUACGGAAGAGGCGAGUGGAAUUCCUGGUGUAGCGGUGGAAUGCGCAGAUAUCAGGAGGAACACCAAUAGCGAAGGCAGCUCGCUGGGACGUUACUGACACUGAGGCGCGAAAGCGUGGGUAGCGAACAGG